rnacentral:rRNA from 1 species
AGUGGGGAAUUUUGCGCAAUGGGCGAAAGCCUGGCGCAGCAACGCCGCGUGGAUGAAGAAGCACCUUGGUGUGUAAAAUCCUGUCGACAGGGAAUAAGUUGACGUGAUUAAGAGUCGUGUUAAUUGAAUGUACCUGUAGAGGAAGCCCCGGCUAACUCCGUGCCAGCAGCCGCGGUAAUACGGAGGGGGCAAGCGUUAUUCGGAAUUACUGGGCGUAAAGGGCGCGUAGGCGGUCUUUUAAGUGAGAAGUGAAAGCCCACGGCUUAACCGUGGAACUGCUUCUCAUACUGGGAGACUAGAGUAUGGGAGAGGGAAGUGGAAUUUCCGGUGUAGCGGUGAAAUGCAUAGAGAUCGGAAGGAACACCAGUGGCGAAAGCGGCUUCCUGGACCAUAACUGACGCUGAGGCGCGAAAGCGUGGGGAGCAAACAGGAUUAGAUACCCUGGUAGUUCACGCCAUAAACGAUGGAUACUUUGCUUUGCGGGUGUCGACCCCUGCGGAGCAGGAGCUA